rnacentral:rRNA from 1 species
CCUACGGGUGGCAGCAGUAGGGAAUAUUGCUCAAUGGGGGCAACCCUGACGCAGCAACGCCGCGUGGAGGAUGAAGGUUUUCGGGUUGUAAACUCCUUUUGUUAGAGAAGAUUAUGACGGUAUCCCACUCAUAUACACCGCCUCACUCUGUGCCAGCGGCCGCGGUGAUACGGGGGGUGCACGCGUUAUCCGGAUUCACUGGGCGUAAAGAGCGCGUAGGCGGGAUAGCAAGUCAGAUGUGAAAUCCUAUGGCUUAACCCUAGAACUGCAUUUGAAACUGUUAUUCUAGAGUAUGGGAGAGGGAGGCGGAAUUCCUGGUGUAGCGGUGAAAUCCGUAGAUAUCAAGAGGAACAC